GNACUUAUGAACCGCUNNNGGCNGCCUAANCAUGCAAGUCGAGCGGUAGCACAGAGAGCUUGCUCUCGGGUGACGAGCGGCGGACGNNUGANUAAUGUCUGGGAAACUGCCUGAUGGAGGGGGAUAACUACUGGAAACGGUAGCUAAUACCGCAUAACGUCGCAAGACCAAAGUGGGGGACCUUCGGGCCUCAUGCCAUCAGAUGUGCCCAGAUGGGAUUAGCUNGUAGGUGGGGUAACGGCUCACCUAGGCGACGAUCCCUAGCUGGUCUGAGAGGAUGACCAGCCACACUGGAACUGAGACACGGUCCAGACUCCUACGGGAGGCAGCAGUGGGGAAUAUUGCACAAUGGGCGCAAGCCUGAUGCAGCCAUGCCGCGUGUGUGAAGAAGGCCUUCGGGUUGUAAAGCACUUUCAGCGGGGAGGAAGGCGGUGAGGUUAAUAACCUNAUCGAUUGACGUUACCCGCAGAAGAAGCACCGGCUAACUCCGUGCCAGCAGCCGCGGUAAUACGGAGGGNGCAAGCGUUAAUCGGAAUUACUGGGCGUAAAGCGCACGCAGGCGGUCUGUCAAGUCGGAUGUGAAAUCCCCGGGCUCAACCUGGGAACUGCAUUCGAAACUGGCAGGCUAGAGUCUUGUAGAGGGGGGUAGAAUUCCAGGUGUAGCGGUGAAAUGCGUAGAGAUCUGGAGGAAUACGGUGGCGAAGCNGCCCCCUGGACAAGACUGACGCUCAGGUGCGAAAGCGUGGGAGCANCAGGAUAGAUACCCUGGUAGUCACGCUGUNAACGNAGUCAAUUUGGNAGGUUNGGGCCUUGAG
rnacentral:rRNA from 1 species